GUGGGGAAUCUUCCGCAAUGGACGAAAGUCUGACGGAGCAACGCCGCGUGAGUGAUGAAGGUCUUCGGAUUGUAAAGCUCUGUUAAUCGGGACGAAAGAGCCUAGUGUGAAUAAUGCUAGGAAGUGACGGUACCGGAAUAGAAAGCCACGGCUAACUACGUGCCAGCAGCCGCGGUAAUACGUAGGUGGCAAGCGUUGUCCGGAAUUAUUGGGCGUAAAGCGCGCGCAGGCGGAUCUGCCAGUCUGUCUUAAAAGUUCGGGGCUUAACCCCGUGAUGGGAUGGAAACUACAGAUCUAGAGUAUCGGAGAGGAAAGUGGAAUUCCUAGUGUAGCGGUGAAAUGCGUAGAUAUUAGGAAGAACACCAGUGGCGAAGGCGACUCACUGGCCCGUUACUGACGCUGAGGCGCGAAAGCGUGGGGAGCAAACAGGAUUAGAUACCCUGUAGUCC
rnacentral:rRNA from 1 species